rnacentral:misc_RNA from 1 species
UCUCCGUUGGUGAACCAGCGGAGGGAUCAUUACCGAGUUUACAACUCCCAAACCCCUGUGAACAUACCAUUUGUUGCCUCGGCGGUGCCUGCUUCGGCAGCCCGCCAGAGGGCCCAAACCCUUGAUUUUAUACAGUGUCUUCUGAGUAAAUGAUUAAAUAAAUCAAAACUUUCAACAACGGAUCUCUUGGUUCUG